AUUGAACGCUGGCGGCAUGCCUUACACAUGCAAGUCGAACGGCAGCGGACCUUCGGGUGCCGGCGAGUGGCGAACGGGUGAGUAAUAUAUCGGAACGUACCUUUCAGUGGGGGAUAACGUAGCGAAAGUUACGCUAAUACCGCAUAUCCUGUGAGCAGGAAAGCAGGGGAUCGCAAGACCUUGCGCUGAUUGAGCGGCCGAUAUCAGAUUAGCUAGUUGGUGAGGUAAAGGCUCACCAAGGCGACGAUCUGUAGCGGGUCUGAGAGGAUGAUCCGCCACACUGGAACUGAGACACGGUCCAGACUCCUACGGGAGGCAGCAGUGGGGAAUUUUGGACAAUGGGCGCAAGCCUGAUCCAGCCAUGCCGCGUGAGUGAAGAAGGCCUUGGGUUGUAAAGUCUCUUUCGG
rnacentral:rRNA from 1 species